CUUUAUUUCACAAAAUCUUUGUAAAUACCAACUGUUAUAUUUCAGCUGUUAAGUAUACUUUGAAAUAAUUUGACGAGUGCACUAUGUAAAUAGUUUUCCUAGAGUUUUAUGCUAAAAUCAAAAAAAUAAUAAUCUAAUUAACCUUCUCAUUACUAUUUAUUUUUUAUAAAAUUAUGCCUAAUGCAAGUAAUAUCAUUCGUUUUCUUUGUACUCAUUUGAAAAAAAAAAAAAUCUAAAACUACUCUGUCUAUCUGAUGCAAGCAGAGAUAAAUGUUUGAGUAUUCAAGUUGUGAGAAUGCAAAUAUAUAAAAAAAACACAGUGUCAAUUCAGCUGUCCUUCUUGAUAAUAUACAUCACAUCAACAAAAAAAUUAUAGUACAAAAAUAGUUCGACUAAUACCUUAAGUUUUUACUAUUAAGACAUUCCUUUCUUUCUAUCAAUGAAUUUUCUAACAUUUUUUCAAGCAUCAACUAAUAUCAUGACUAUGAGUUAGGUAUUACUACUCAACGAGUCUUUUUGAAAUAGAAGUAUGAUCUUAUAUCCGUGACUACUUACUCAUUCACCCUUAUAAUCACUAUUCCAUUGUUAUUUCCAUACUUUUUUCUUCUUCUUUAGACCUAUUUAUAGCUGAGAUACAAUAGUAAAGUGUAAAGAUAAAGUUCAAACCUAUGAUAUACCCGUAUAUCAUAUUUUAGAAUACACUUAAAUAAAUUAUCAAAGUCCAAGCUUUAAUAAUGAUUUUUACAAAAGUGAGAUUGCGUUAUAUUCGAAAAAUCAUUUCCAAUUGUUUGUAUUUAUAAAUAUUUGCUGCAUUUUAAUAUUCAUCAAAAUGGAAGCCAACAGAAUUCUUGUGCUGUAAAUGCUCGUGCACGAAACACCCCUGUCGAGAUGGACAAUGACCUUAGGAUCCGCGGUACGCCCGUAAAUGGUAUUAAACCCCGCUUUUAAAACUCAAGAAACAGUCGACAGAAAGCCUGGUGAAGGUCGGAAACGAACACUAAGAACAAAGUCCAUGAUUUUGCAUGUCAAAAACCGACUUGCUAGAAAUCUAGUGUGGACAAUUCCCUGUAUUGACAAGAAGAUGAAUGGUAAGGAGUUCACUCUCUGAAAGAUCUUUAGGGAUGACUUGGCAGCAAAUUCAAGAGCAAGAAGUAUAAAACAUCUCAUUAUGACGGCCAUAAGGAGAAGAGGGUUUCCAAAGACAAGCUUCUUUUGAAUGUUUCCAAAAACAUGUGGCCUUGUAGCUCACUCCGCCCAUCUUAAUCCUCGAAGGUCUGCAACAAUCAUCAAGGGUCUAUGAAAUCAUUGGAGUCUGCCAUCAAUGAUGUAUGGACAGACUAGUCAGAAAACUACAUCUGUAAGUAUCUUCACGCACUAGUUUUUAAAUCAAGUUUGAAAAACAAAUUUAAAAAAAAAAGACAAAAAUUAAAUAUGUCUUAUGUCAAAAUCUCCAGAAGCAAAAUAACCAGAUGCAAAAAUGUUCAUGGCAAAAUUUCUGGUGGCAAAACUGUUCAAAAGUCUAAUUAACCUCCGUGGAAGAAGAUAUUUAUGAAUUAUUUUUUAGUUCACGUAUGGUAAGAUCAAACCACAAUUUAUAAGAAAAAGACAACUAUGACAUUUAAAAGAGUCAAACUUAGCUAUAAAUUUCAAUUCCUUGAAAUCUAAAUGUAAUAUUUAAAAAAUAUGUAAUAAUUUGGCUUUUUAUAAGUGAACUAUUUAA
rnacentral:lncRNA from 1 species